CUUAAUCAGCAGAAUACAGCAGAGCAUCGUUAACAAGAACACAGCAACGUUUGCUGCUCAAGGCUACUCCUUCAAGCACAAUGAGGGCAGAACGAAUGCUAAAGGCCACAGUUACGAGUUUGAAGCGUGCUCGAAGGAAGCACCUGAUUUGUUAUGGCUAUCAGACAGCAGACUUGAAUUUAUCAAGCUCAUUCAACCCAGAAGACAUUUGGUCCUUUUCACACUUCCGUUGGUGACUUUGGGUCACACGAAGUGACUGUCUCCCCUUUAUCCUGGAACUCAGCUAUCGACAGCACUACUGCUGGUCAUAUGCUCAGUUAAGACAGAAGACUUUCUACUCUGUAUCUGUUUCCUGAGACUUUCAUAUUGGUUCUUUAUUAUGGCACAAUAAAUUGAAUGUCAACUUCAUUAAAUUUGCUGUCCAAGUAUUUCCCUGUAGGGUAACAGGUGGGUACUUUAUAUCAGGCUUGGUCCUGACACACACUACCUAUUCUCUCCUUAAUGUGUCAGUCCUCAGCUCUAGUUACUCUCUCUCUGGAGGUAUCCAUGACAGGCACAGUUACAGACUUGAAACAUUAUACAUAAGAAACUCAAUACAGAUCUGAUUCUGUUUAGCAAAAUGACAAAAUGACUUUUUUUUUUUUCUAAUAGCAUGACUUUCAG
rnacentral:lncRNA from 1 species